rnacentral:rRNA from 1 species
CUCUCGGCAAUGGAUAUCUCGGCUCUUGCAUCGAUGAAGAACGUAGUGAAAUGCGAUACUUGGUCGAGGGCACGCCUGCUUGGGUGUCAUGGCAUCGUCGCCUUUGCUGCAUGCAUUGUGGUGUGAAUUGCAGAAUCUCGUGAACCAUUGAGUCUUUGAACGCAAGUUGUGCCCGAGGCCUUGU